UGUUGAAAUGCCAGUUCUCAUACGAUCACCAAAGUUGAGCAAUGUCGAGCCUCGUCAGUAUCUAGAUGGGUGACCAUUUGGGAAUAUCAAGUGCUGUAAU